rnacentral:lncRNA from 1 species
CGUUCAUGUAACUCCUCAACUGCAUCUUACCGAGAGCAUUCUCUGGCCUGUCCUUGAACACCCACAUGUACAUGUUCUCCAUGUCGUGUUGCACCAUGAAAACAUCAAGCUUGAGAUCAGACUUGUCAAAUCCAGACACUCCGUUGUUAUCCCUGACAACCUUGGCCUUUGAUUUCUCGUUCAGCGCUGGCCUAAAGUAGAAGCUGAA